GGUGCGGGAAGCUCGGGCACUUCCUUUCUGCGCAGCGCCUCGGAGCGCGGGCUGCAGGGCAGCAUGGCGGGCAGCGGAGGCCCGGGGCUGCGGAUCCCGGCCUGUCCUCGGGCUCUUCCAGGUGCAACAAAACCUGUCUCUUGAAGAUGCUUGAACAAAUGUUUUCCAAAAACUUGUCAUGGAAAGUGAUGUAAACAAGCCAUCAAGAGGACACUUGCCACUAACAAGCACAUUGGUGGCUGCAGGUGAAUGUCCAUCGACAGUAGCUGUAAUGUUUACAAACACUUCAUUGUUCUGGGUGCAGCACACGUUUUGGAAUGUAAAAUGAAGAAUUGGUCAAGAAACUGUGAGCAGAAGCAAGUGAUGAGAAUUAGUAUUUUAUUUGAUGAUAAUAAACAAUAAAUUAUGUAGAAAUAUAGCUGAUUGUUGUGGGCAGUAAUUUCUUUAAAAUGUUCAUCUUUAAAGCAUCGUUCUCAUAAAAAGAUGGCCGUCCCGGGUCCACAUGCGGCGAUAAACUGUUGGAGCUGCUGUUGGUACUGAGUCAGCUGGAGGUCUCUUUGCUCCAAGUGUUCUUCAUCAUACAGUUCAAAUGGGAAGAGUGCAUUGGGAGCGACACAAAAUGCAGUGGCCCCUAAGUGAAGACAACAGUGUAAUGAGACUUACAAACUAAAAAUGGAAGUACAUUUCAACAAAAAUAAUAAAGGUUUAAAAAUUCUGAACUGUC